GUUGUAUGGUUAAGUGACUAAGCGUACACGGUGGAUGCCUUGGCAGUCAGAGGCGAUGAAAGACGUAGUAACUUGCGAUAAGCCCAGAUUAGGUAGUAACAACCAUUUGAGUCUGGGAUUUCUGAAUGGGGAAACCCACUUACAUAAGUAAGUAUCAUUAACUGAAUACAUAGGKUAAUGAGGCGAACCGGGGGAACUGAAACAUCUAAGUACCCCGAGGAAAAGAAAUCAACCGAGAUUCCGAAAGUAGCGGCGAGCGAAAUUGGACUAGCCCUUAAGCUUUACACGCGUUAGACGAACGGUCUGGAAAGUCCGACGAUACAGGGUGAUAGUCCCGUAGUUGACGACGUGUGUUCAGUGAAAUCGAGUAGGGCGGGACACGUGAUAUCCUGUCUGAAU
rnacentral:rRNA from 1 species